AUUGAACGCUGGCGGAAUGCUUUACACAUGCAAGUCGAGCGGCAGCGCGGGGCAACCUGGCGGCGAGCGGCGAACGGGUGAGUAAUACAUCGGAACGUGCCCAGACGUGGGGGAUAACUACUCGAAAGAGUGGCUAAUACCGCAUACGAUCUAAGGAUGAAAGCGGGGGAUCGCAAGACCUCGCGCGUUUGGAGCGGCCGAUGGCAGAUUAGGUAGUUGGUGGGGUAAAGGCUCACCAAGCCAACGAUCUGUAGCUGGUCUGAGAGGACGACCAGCCACACUGGAACUGAGACACGGUCCAGACUCCUACGGGAGGCAGCAGUGGGGAAUUUUGGACAAUGGGCGCAAGCCUGAUCCAGCCAUUCCGCGUGCAGGAUGAAGGCCUUCGGGUUGUAAACUGCUUUGUACGGUAACGAAAAGCUCUCUCUAAUACAGGGGUGAAGUGACGGUACCGUAAGAAUAAGCACCGGCUAACUACGUGCCAGCAGCCGCGGUAA
rnacentral:rRNA from 1 species